AAAACAUGCAAAAAGAAUUCCACUGUUCAUUUGCAUAUGUGAUAAAUAAAGCAGCAUUGAAGGGCAA